rnacentral:rRNA from 1 species
ACGAACGCUGGCGGCAUGCCUAACACAUGCAAGUCGAACGAGACCUUCGGGUCUAGUGGCGCACGGGUGCGUAACGCGUGGGAACCUGCCCUUAGGUUCGGAAUAACUCCCCGAAAGGGGUGCUAAUACCGGAUAAUGUCUUCGGACCAAAGAUUUAUCGCCUUUGGAUGGGCCCGCGUUGGAUUAGCUAGUUGGUAGGGUAAAAGCCUACCAAGGCGACGAUCCAUAGCUGGUCUGAGAGGAUGAUCAGCCACACUGGGACUGAGACACGGCCCAGACUCCUACGGGAGGCUGCAGUGGGGAAUAUUGGACAAUGGGCGAAAGCCUGAUCCAGCAAUGCCGCGUGAGUGAUGAAGGCCUUAGGGUUGUAAAGCUCUUUUACCCGGGAUGAUAAUGACAGUACCGGGAGAAUAAGCUCCGGCUAACUCCGUG